ACUCCUACGGGAGGCAGCAGUAGGGAAUCCUCCACAAUGGGCGCAAGCCUGAUGGAGCAACACCGCGUGAGUGAAGAAGGGUUCGGCUCGUAAAGCUCUGUUGUUAAAGAAGAACACGUAUGAGAGUAACUGUUCAUACGUUGACGGUAUUUAACCAGAAAGUCACGGCUAACUACGUGCCAGCAGCCGCGGUAAUACGUAGGUGGCAAGCGUUAUCCGGAUUUAUUGGGCGUAAAGAGAGUGCAGGCGGUUUUCUAAGUCUGAUGUGAAAGCCUUCGGCUUAACCGGAGAAGUGCAUCGGAAACUGGAUAACUUGAGUGCAGAAGAGGUAGUGGAACUCCAUGUGUAGCGGUGGAAUGCGUAGAUAUAUGGAAGAAACACCAGUGGCGAAGGCGGCUACCUGGUCUGCAACUGACGCUGAGACUCGAAAGCAUGGGUAGCGAACAGGAUUAGAUACCCCUGGUAGGAUAGCG
rnacentral:rRNA from 1 species